rnacentral:lncRNA from 1 species
GAGCGCAUAUUUGGAGAACAGCAUGGAGAACAUAUUUCAAUCUUUGAUUGUAGUCGAGGUGCGCAUAUUUGGAGAACCUAAUGGAGAAUACGUUUCGAUCUUUGGUCGUAGUCGAGGAGUGCAUGUUUGGUGAACCGCAUGAAGAACACAUUCCGAUCCUCGACCAUAGUCGAGAAGUGUGUGUUUGGAGAACUGCAUGAAAAAUAUAUUUCGAUCCUCAACCAUAGCCGAGGAGUGCAUA